UGGUUGACACAGGCACUACCUAUAUAUAUAGAGUGCGUGUCGAGUAUCUAUAUUCGCGUUUAGAACUGAAAAUCUUGACGGAGCGUCAAAGAAUCACUGUAACUACGGAGUGCAUGUGUCGUGCGUCUUUAUUCCACCCCGGCAGAAAGCGAACUUGUGCACACGCGUCUCCGUAACCGCGGUGUACACAGUGAUAGAACACACACUACAGCUGAGACGUGCGCUACGACACACCGCCCACUGUCCGUUGCUGGAUUGAUUUAUCUAGGAGCGACAACGAUGAGACCAGACCUCCUGCUGCUUGCUCUGUGCAUCCUGAC